GUUUUUUUAGCCCCCGCAUAUCGAAGCUCGAUCCCCCCCCAAAAGAUGUCUUCGCUUGCGGCGUUCUCCUCUGGCUCCAAGGCUUCGACCUCGGAUCUCUUGCGGAGCUCGAGCAGUGGAGUGAUUGGAGUGACUCUUAGUAUUCUGCGGUGAUCGGGAGCGAUGAGCGUUGAUUUGAGGAGGAGGAGGAGGAGGAUGGUGAAUGUGAUGGCCAAGAUCGUGAAGAAGGGGAAGGUGAAGCACGAGUACCCGUGGCCUCACAAGAUCGAGCCCGAUCCCAAUGUCAAGGGAGGGAUCCUUAGCCCUUCGAGAAGCCCUCAUGGAUCUGGAGAAGAAGAUCAUGCAUGCGUGCACCGAUGUGACGUUGGCGACUAUUAUAUACAUUGAGAAAGAAUAUAAUUGAUUUUUGAAUGCUUGCAAUAAGUGUAAGAGGAAGGCAAAGUCUGAUGGGGGCAAAUUUAGGUGUGACUAUUGUCAUGAAUAUGUGAAGGUGGUUGUGCCAAGAGCUGGAAAUCUGGUUGAUCAAACUGUGGCUGGGGAAUCGGCUGAAGUAACUUCUUCUGUUGGACACGUACAAUUAGCGGACUUGCAGAGAAUAUAAAGAGGCAUCCAGUCACCAGCUGCUGUUGAGGACCCUGAUGCAGGUCUAGGAUUAGGGGAUAUUUUGACACCUGAUUUGGUUUCUCCACUGAUUGAAAAGUUACAAGUUCAGAAGACUGGUGUCAUACUUACCUGAGGUGAGUGCUAUUUUCUUAAAUCUAUUGUGAAUGUUAUAACGGUUGAUGCUCCAGUUCUAUAACGAUGUUGUGUAAUGAUUAGGGCCCUUGGACUCCCCAAAUUAUCACAGAAUUAUUAUUUUCAACUGGUCAUUUUUCAGUUGUCAUACUUGAAUUCGUUGUACUAAGUGAAGCUGAACGUUUUCCCCAAGUCUCAUUGCUUCUAUAUAGAAUAAAUGUUUCCAAGCACCAUCAAAAUAGGAUGAUCUCACAAUUGAUUAUGAAGACUGUAAUGUGAUAUGAAAGCACCAUCAAAAUAUAGAUCGAGGAAGCUCGCCAGGAACGUCGUCGUCCUCGCCAGAAUCGUCGAGGUGUGUGGUUCGUGUUUGCAUUGUAGUUUCUGUUGAAUCGGUAGUUUUGUUGUUUUUGCUAUUUGGAUUAUGUGUUAGGGCUCGGUUUUGGUGAUUAAAUGAUAGUAGAUGGGAUCGGGAGGGAAAAUUUUGAUCUAGAUAUGAAAAUGGAAUAAAGGGAAUAAUAUGGAAGUAAAUGGAUUGAUUGAACUUUGACCAUAAUAACUGGAUCAAAGCUAAUCAUGCAUCUAAUGUGGAUAUCAGCUUUUCUGUAGCCAAUCUGGCAAGUGGAGCCUAUGUCAUUAUAGCUGAUGGAAGGUUGCAGGCUUAGGUUCAGCAUUAGCGAGGUGAGAUGUAUGAGACCUGGGAGAAGUCAUGUUAUGUUAGGGUCUACGUAGUCCCAUAUUGACUAAUUAGGGACAUUGAAUCAUGGGUGUUAUCUCUGCAUGCCCGCUGGUUGUGGUUGGCUUUGAUAUCAUUUAUAAGAGAGCGAGGAAACUCACACCUAAAAGCUACGCCUAAAUUUUUAUAAACCCGCAAUUGACACCUUAUUAUGUCAACAUGGGACUGGAUGAAGUGCAAUAUGAAAAAGUUAAUACUGACUGUAUGUGUGAAAUUUAAAUAGAAAUGUGUGAUGGUUCUCUUGGUAUUGAGUUCUUGAGAAGAAUUUGCGUUUAAACUGUUCGAGAAUAGGCCAAUGUUGGGCUGUGCAAAAGUGUAAUAGGAUCAGUUUGGAUAUUUGAACUUCUCAUUAACACGAAAUAUAAGCAUAAGUCUUUGAUCUCAUUCUUGUGUGCCUGCAGCAUUGAACUGGCUCCUUGCUGCAUCCUAUUAUCCUAGACACAUCACAAUUGAGAACAUGCAUUGCAGUUGAACCUCAUUGUAUUUAUAUGCUUACAUCCGUUCGACAAUCACUUUCUUAAAUAAUAAUGUUUGCCCAUACAACUUUUUCGUGAAUUGAAACACAACAUUAUGGAAAAGCGGGUGUAAGCACCAUCAAUAUAGAUUGUGAAGACUGUAAUGUGAAUUAUAAUUUGCCAUUAUAAGAAUUGUAUAACUAUUCUGUGUAAGAAUUUUCAAAGUAAUUCUUUUAUAGUAAUCAAUCUUUUAUUUUCAGAUUUCCUCUUUGAAAAGAAGAAAACUGCAAGUACUUUCUCUGAUUUCAUUUUGUUAGGGUUUUCUGCAUAAAAAGUUCUUUUUUUAGUUAGUUUCUAUUGGAAUUGAUUGAAAUAUAAAUCAUGGUGAUGAAUUUGAUCUAAAUUCUAAUUUUUUAAGUUAGAAAACUGUAGGUACAUUCAUUAUUUUUUCCCCUAAUAUGUUGGUAUUAAAUUCAGUAGUUAUUAUUUGGCUAAUUCAUAGCAUAAAAUUAUUCUAUUGAGAUUUUAAGUUUUGGAUAAAUUUGUUAGCUCUAUCUGAGCGUGUCCUAUAAUAAAUUUGUUAGCUCUAUCUGAAUGAACGUGUCCUAUAAUAUAUGUCCUAAUUAUUUGUCAGCAUGUUUCCUUGGAUCUGGACAACCUGACCGGACUGUUGAGUGCAAAGAUAUGAGUGGCAUGUAUAAGAUAAUUUAUGUUUGUCCUGAGACGGUAUUAAGAGGUUUUCUUUUUGCAGACUUACAGAACCACUUACAAGGCUUGCAGAAAGUCAUGGGAUUGCACUCUUUGCCAUCGAUGAGGUUCACUGCGUUUCAAAGUGGGGCCAUGAUUUUCAACCUGAUUACAGGUCUGUUUUAGUGCUUACUAGCUUGCUUGCAAAUCUCUGGCUGCUGGUACUCUUCAUGAAGAAAUUCUAUCUACCUCGGUUAUAGUAAUGACCUGUCUUAUAUGAUGUUAUAGUAUCCUUUUUUUGUAGCAGACUGAAUGUGGAAAUAUGGAGUAUUUUACUGCAUUUCUUUUUCUGUAUGUUUAGGCAAUUGUCCAUACUUAGAAAGAACUUCAGCUCUUGCAAUUUAAAAUUCUUGAAGUUUGACAUCCCAUUGAUGGCCCUGACGGCUACAGCGACGAUUCCUGCUCGUGAGGACAUUAUCAAGUCUCUGCACAUGUCAGAGGAAACAAAAAUUAUCUUGACAUCUUUCUUUCGACCGAACCUACGAUUUUCACUGGAACACAGGGCUCGCUAUCGGUCACUUGUGACAAUGAAGUUGGAAUUUGUUCCUCGGAUAACAUUACUCCUUGCAAAAGAAAUUUGUUGGAAUCUGAUAUCGAGCACUCAGUUUCAGUAGACUUGAUUUCUCCGCAAAUGUCUAGCAACAAAAAGCAAAAAAAGUUCAAGAUUGAAAGAGAGAAUUAUAAUAUUCUACAGAGAGUUUAAGCUACUUUUUUAUAAAUCUCUAUCUGAUUCAUGAUGUCUGAAACUUAUAUUUAGUAUUCUGGUCUAAAACCUUAUUCACUAAACUUUUGUAUGCACUACAUAUUUUUUUGGUGGUUUUGCGUUGAGAAACCUAACUACUUGAUAUGAUUGUGAUGGAUAUUUUGUUUAUCAA